rnacentral:rRNA from 1 species
AGCAGCCGCGGUAAUUCCAGCUCCAAUAGCGUAUAUUAAAGUUGUUGCAGUUAAAAAGCUCGUAGUUGAAUUUCGGGACCAAUAUGUUGGUCGUGCCUUGGUACGUACUGGCGUCAUUGGUUUCUACCUUCUGAAGAACCUCGAUGUCAUUAAUUUGGUGUCUUGGGGAAUCAGGACUGUUACUUUGAAAAAAUUAGAGUGUUUAAAGCAGGCUCACGCUUGAAUACAUUAGCAUGGAAUAAUGAAAUAGGACGUUUGAUUCUAUUUUGUUGGUUUCUAGGAUCGACGUAAUGAUUAAUAGGGAUAGUUGGGGGCAUUAGUAUUCAAUUGUCAGAGGUGAAAUUCUUGGAUUUAUUGAAGACUAACUACUGCGAAAGCAUUUGCCAAGGAUGUUUUCAUUAAUCAAGAACGAAAGUUAGGGGAUCGAAGACGAUCAGAUACCGUCGUAGUCUUAACCAUAAACUAUGCCGACUAGGGAUCGGAUGAUGUUAAUUUUUUAAUGACUCAUUCGGCGCCUUACG